AUUGAACGCUGGCGGCAGGCCUAACACAUGCAAGUCGAGCGGCUGCACGGUACUUGCUCCUGGAUUCAGCGGCGGACGGGCGAGUAAUGCCUAGGAACCUGCCUGGUUGUGGUGGCUAACGUCCGGAAACGGGCGCUCAUACCGCAUACGCCCUGAGGGAGAAAGUGGGGGAUCUUCGGACCUUCCGCUCUCAGAUGAUCCUAGGGCGGAUUAGCUAGUUGGUGGGGUAAAGGCCUACCAAGGCGACGAUCCGUAACUGGUCUGCGAGGAUGAUCAGGCACACUGGAACUGAGACACGGUCCAGGCUCCCAAGGGAGGGAGCAGGGGGGAAUAUUGGACAAUGGGCGGAAACCUUGUCCAACCAAGCCGGGGGUGGUGAAGAAGUCUUCGGAGUGUAAAGCACUUUAUGUUGGGAGAAAGAGCAGUAAGUUAAUACCUUGCUGUUUUGACGGGACCAACAGAAUAAGCAACGGCUAACUUCGUG
rnacentral:rRNA from 1 species